rnacentral:lncRNA from 1 species
AAAACAAUCCUUCACGUUACUGCUGUCUAGUGUGAUCCACCGGCCGUGUCUGUCAUAUAGUUCAGGAAUGCACGACGGCGCCUGCACCAGGCGUGCACGUGGAGACCCAGAGAAUGUGUAGAACGUAAUUGCAUUGUUGUGUAGUAAUGAGGUGGCUAUCUUCGAUGUACAUUCACGAACCGUAUAUUCUUCGUAUGUCUCCCGUAAUACUGUUGGAUGUUAACCAUCUUGGAAACAUUAUAACUGAGCCUUCUAGGUUUCUUGUCAAACCCCGGUUGUUCGUAACAAGGAUCUGACAUGGCUUUGGAUUUGACUCAGAUUAACAUGGGACAUGGCGGGUAUCGUCGAUGAAACAAAGCACAGUAAACCUUCUGGAACACUAGGCAUGGUGCAGAAAAGUUGACCUACUGGGAAGGGGGAAAAGAACUCCACUACCUGCAAAAGACAGAAAAUAUUUCCACCCAAAAUUUGAGAAACCUGGGAAGAAAAGGAGCCUACGCCCAAUUGAUGAGUGUUGUGUUUGAAGUUGAAGCAUGGUCUUCGGCAAAAAAUUCUUGCAGAUUUAUUGAGUGUGUCUGUUAUGACAGUUUGUUGGACCAUAAAAACAUGGAUUCAUUUUUUGUUUGAUCACAUGUAGUCACUUAUCCCAUGGCCAUCAAGAGAACAAAUUUAAGCAAUUUACCUAAACAUUUUACAGAAAUGACUCAGGUUCGCAUAGUUACAGAUGCAACAGAAUUCUUCUGCGAGAAACUGGGAAACAUGGAGACUUAAUUUCUUACAUGGAGUGAACACAAACACCAUAACACUUAUACAGGUUUAAUUGGAGUUGUACCCGAUGGCCUAGUAACAUUUGUGUCAAGGAUUCGGGAAGGGCAUACAAUAAAUAGACAUAUUGUGCAAAAAGAUGGUGACCUCUUCUUACCAAAGUUAGAACCUGGAGAUGUUAUUCAUGCAGACAAAGGCUUCACUGUUGGAGAUUUACUUCCUGCACAUAUAGUACUAAAUAUGCCACCAUUUGUAUGAUCUAGUUGUCAGAUGAGUGUACAGGAGUUCUUUAAAACUCAACAAAUAGCUGCUCCCAGGAUUGUUGUUGAAAUGAAAAUGGAGUAAAUCAAGAACUUCAGGAUAUUACAAUCUGUGCUACCACUUGCUGAAGUUCAUUUAGCUGAACAAACAAUUAUGAUAUGUUGUGCCAUGAAAAAUUUGUACGAGCUCUUACUGAGGUGAAUUACACUGUCUGCAAUGUCCUGUCCUUAAGAUUUCUAGAUUACUUCAUAUUACUGGAUCAUGUGUAAAAUGUACAUAUAAAUAUACUGUACAGAUAUGAAACCAGUACACUACUGUAAUGAUUUUGUUUAACAUAAAUCACUUGAAUAUUUAAAAUGGACAGAUUUUCAGUUGACCCUUGACAUUUAGUAAUUUCAAAUAAUAUUUUCCCUAAAUCUGAAGAGUCAAAGACAUUCUUAAUAGAGAUGUAUUUGCAAACUCGAGAGUCAAAGCUCAUUGUUUGGUGUACCGAUGUCCUAGAUGGCUCAGGUAUAUAAUGUUAAAUUAAUUGUGUACAGUACAUGUAUGUACAUUUGCAUUCAAUUAGACCGUGCGAAUUAACUAUAACAAUGUUGACUUCUUUGUGAUUUUUGUAAUAGGUUUUGGGAUGUUAAAAUUUCAAAACACUUGAUGGGUGUAUUGUCUGUUUCAACAACUAUUGGUAAAACUAAUAUGUAUGUUUUUUUAUAGAGUUAAAGUUACUAGGUAUGCACAAAGGUUUGAAAAAUGAAAUAACUGAUCAAGUAUUUUCAUACUUUGUUAUAUAGAUAUAUUGAGAAGCAGGCCAUAUAAGAGAAUGAAUGAUAAUAUCACAAUUUUGAUUUAAUACGUUUUAGAAGUCAAAAUUGAAAAUGAAAAUAGUUAAGCAUCAAUAUUGAAGAACUGGACAUAUUUAAAAAAAAGAAUUUUUGUCAAAUGUUUAUUUGAAAACAAGAAAACCUAAAUGCAUGUGUAACUCAGGUAGUUUCAGAUAUUGACAAACCGUUGUUUAAUAUUAUUAGAGGGACACAGAACUUUGUAUGUAAUAACUUAUGAAUAACUUUUUCCUUAUCAUGUGCGAUAGUCAUAUAAGGUAUAGUGUUAUUGUGUGUUAUGACAUGUGUAAAAAGUGUAUAAAUAACAUCCAUGAUAGAUUUUCAUUUCACCAAAUACAUUUUAGAAUAUGAGUCAAGAUAUCUAUAAUCAAACUGUAUCGUAGAUAAUUUCAUUUCAAGAUAUUUAUUAUUUUUCAUUCCGGACUCGGGGACCGCCCGCUUUUUUUGUGCUUUAGGCUCCGCCUUACUCACGUUUCCUAUUGCUUCCGGUCUACCAUCUUCAUGGAUGGAACUGUAAACACUGAACUGGUUUAAUCUGUUUAAGAUAUAAUCUUGUCAAUGCGUAAGUGUUUCACGUAUUAUUCGUAUAUUUAGUAUGUGCAGAUCAUUUUGAACGUUGCGUUAACACUUGAAUAUACGAUGUAGAGUGUCACACGGCUUCCUUUUAUUCGAAUGUUGUUUACUCAUUGUUGCUAAUUUACGAUAACAUAUAUAGGAGGACCGUACUUGGUCAUUUAUUAUGGCUGUUUAUUUGUAUUUGUUGUAGGUUGAAACUGAAUAAACGUUUUACAACCUGA